UCAUAGGCACAUUGGAGGACUGUUAGCCAGUGUGUAUCAUCUUACGAAAAUAGAAUAUGGUAUAGAUCAACCAGAAGAGGUAUGCAUAAA